UAGUCCUAGCUGUAAACGAUGGAUACUGGGUGUGAGGUUAGGAAACCUCGUGCCGAAGCAAACGCGAUAAGUAUCCCGCCUGGGGAGUACGUUCGCAAGAAUGAAACUCAGAGGAAUUGACGGGGGCCCGCACAAGCGGAGGAACAUGUGGUUUAAUUCGAUGAUACGCGAGGAACCUUACCUGGGCUUAAAUGUAGAUUGCAUGAGGUGGAAACACUUCUUUACUUCGGUACUAUUUACAAGGUGCUGCAUGGUUGUCGUCAGCUUGUGCCGUGAGGUGUCGGGUUAAGUCCCAUAACGAGCGCAACCCUUAUCGUUAGUUGCCAUCAGGUGAUGCUGGGGACUCUAGCGAGACUGCCACCGUAAGGUGAGAGGAAGGUGGGGAUGACGUCAAAUCAGCACGGCCCUUAUGUCCAGGGCUACACACGUGUUACAAUGGCAGGUACAAAGGGCAGCUACCAGGUGACUGGAUGCUAAUCCCUAAAGCCUGUCCCAGUUCGGAUUGG
rnacentral:rRNA from 1 species